CAGAACCAGCCGUUGUCCCCUGGCAAAAAGAGGCCCAGGGCUGAGCCCUGGGCAAGUGUCUCCCGACAUCGCUACCCCUCCUCCCUUUAUUAGUUUCCCUUUCCCAACAGAAACCAUUUCCUUCUGCCACCAAAACUAGGUUGCAUCCAAAAGUUUUUCACAAGCUUAAAAAAGAAAAACGAAAAAUUGACAAGUAUUACACAGAAGAGCCCACAAAAGCUUCAGCAACACCAAGGGCGAAGAAGCAGCGUCAGAUCCAGGCGGGGGCUCCACCACCGCGCGCUCCCACCCUCAAGGUGAACGUGGAAAUAAAGAAGUGAGCGAGGCCACAGGUCUGCAGGACACACCAAAGAACUCCUCCAAGUCACACAAGGGAGAAAAUUAACUUCAUUGGCUUCUAUCAGGAAAGCUAUUUUUUUUUUCCUCUUCUUUCCUGCAAGUUUCCCAAACCCCAUGACUCUGAUUUCCAGGUCAGAGACUAAGGUUUUAUUUUUCUUACUCUGUAUACUUUAUAUGUGGAGAGUCCCUGAAGGAACACUGUGAUGGGCUGAUUACUGUGAGCCAGUUGUGGGCCAGACCUGGCCUCAGGUGCUGCAAAGGGAAUUCAGUCACCCCUGUGCAGUGAUCUGUGAGCCCCAAGUCAGAUCCAACUUUUUCCUGAUAGACAGCACCCUCCUCCUCCCUACCAAGAAAUAGCAGGGUUGGAGGUAGUGACCCAAUAUUCAAGAGGUUUGAAAUUCUACAUGAGAUAUUUCUGAGUUAACUCCUAAAUAGCAGUUUCCUUAAUCAUGUGGAAAAUAAGAACACUUACUAAAGAGACCAUUGGUUUAAGAGAAAUGGAAACUUAUGUCCACGUAAAAACCUGUAAAUGAAUGUUCACAGCAGCCUUUUCAUAAUAGCCAAAAAGGGAAAGCAAUCCACACGUCCAUCAACCAAUGAAUGGAUAAACUUAACGUGGGAUAUACGUGUAAUGGAAUGCUAUUUGGUGAAGAAAGAAAUGAAAUAUUAAUACAUGCGUUAACAAGGAUGGACCUUAAAAUAUCAUGCUAAGUAAGAGAAGCCUGUCACAAAAGAAUAUGUAUUGUACCAU
rnacentral:lncRNA from 10 species